UCUCUCUCUCUCUCUCUCAAGAAAAGAAAAGAAAUAUUAUUAAUAAGAAUAAAGAAAACAACUCGGAGGAUAGGGUACCCUCUUUAACGAUUACAAGCAAAAAACAAAGAAACAAACAAUUAAUGGAGAAGGGACACCCUAAUCAUAUUAAAUAGUGCUAAAGACAGUCCUCUAAAAUCCCAAGGGAUCUCAUUCAAAUAAGAAAAAAGGCCAUACUGACACAAAUUAGCAGUUCAAUGGUCUUAUCCAUAAAAACAACAAAAUGACCUAGAUCUCCCCAAGGCCAGACAGUAGAAUUUCCUUCCAGUCCUGAACCUAUGCAUCACCCUAAUUCUCAAAAAAGAGGAAGAAAAGUUGAAAACAUAUUUUUAAAUAUACUCAGUCUCAGACACCAAAGAUUUAACCAAAAGAAAGACCUCUUUUCCUAAUAAACAGUUAAUACUAUCAUAGUCCCUUAUAGGCUUCUCAAAGCUAGGUGGUGCAAUAGGUGUCUACCAUCUUAGCAGCACAUGAAGUCCCAAAACUUUGCCAAUAAACUAAAGACCUAGUUGCAGCAUUAUCAAAGAAAUGGUCUUUAAAACUAAAAAUAUUUGUGGAGGCAAGAUAAAGAUGUUCUCUUCCAGGAACUUCUUGAUGUAAUUAGAAUUCUCUUCACAUUACUAUAUAUCAUCAAGAACCAGUACCUGAAAGAUCCAGCAAUUAUCAUUUUUUAUAUACUCUAAAAUUUCAGUUAUUCACAUAGUUAUUGAAGGCUCAAGGCGCACCAAGGUGCCAGUGGGUCCUGAACCUAAGCGCAAGGCACAGCUGUGCACCUGAGCAAAG
rnacentral:misc_RNA from 1 species